ACUUUUGAUUUUUUUAACAAAGUAUGGUAUUAACGUUAGUUGGCUGUUAAUUAAUAACCCUGACACCCUCACGUGCCAUAAAUGUGAGGGUAUAAUUGUCAUAACAAGUUUUGUGCUUUCCCUCCCAAUUUAUAACCCUAACAAGUUCUUUCCCCCUUCCCCCAAUUGAAACCCUAAUUCCAGUCGUAACCUCUUAAAAAAUCGAAGACAUCAGGUUGGUUAUGUGCAAGUGUGAUAGAGCAGCAAUGAUGAAGACAUCGAAGACCUCCAAAAACCCUGAACGGAGAUUUUAUACAUGCAGAGAUCAAAAUAUUUGAAGAACUGAAGCAUGAAAUUAGAAGAAAGGAUGCAGCAUUACUAAUGAGUUGGUGUAUACUUGUAGGCCUUUUAGUGUUAAUCCUUGUGGUUGUUUGGAUCAGUCUUCUUUUAGAGCCUUUCUAAUGUUAAACCAUGUGGUUGUAAUAAAAUGUGAACCUAUCACUUGGUUGUAAUGAAAUGUUAAUCUAUGUUUUGCUUGUAAUGAAAUGUUUCUAAGAUAUGAAAUACAUGUGGUUUUAA